ACGGUGUGUCACCAAGAUGCCAACUGCAAAAUCGUCUGCUGGAAGAAAAGGAAAGAGGGACACAUCCUCAGAACAAGACUGCAGGCAUGUCUAGCGGUGUGCAGCAGGCAGAACUGUCCACAGAGAUGGAUCAGCGACUCAUUGACACAGCAACAGAGCUUGUCCUGUUUCUUCAGAAUGCUGUCAUCAAAGGUACCAUUGUCAACUGAUGAUAGGCUCCUAGGAGUUGGGGAAAGUAACUUCACAUACCCAUCCAGAUGGACCAUGACUCAACCUAGUCACCAUGUGAACAGCCACAUGCAGCAGGUGGAACGCUGGGAGAAGCUGGUUACCAUGGCUGCCGAUAUCUCUCCCUCUUGAUAUACCUUUCUCCAGACACCCCAACACAUAGCCAAAAUACAUUUGUCUUCUGAGUCAACUUGUGUGCAGGCAGCGAUGCUCCAUGCUGCUGUGUGGGCCAGCACCCUAGUCUGGCUUUCUCCGUUGAUAACACAGUAGGGUA
rnacentral:sRNA from 1 species